UACGUAGGGUGCAAGCGUUAAUCGGAAUUACUGGACGUAAAGCGUGCGCAGGCGGUUUUGUAAGUCUGUCGUGAAAUCCCCGGGCUCAACCUGGGAAUUGCGAUGGAGACUGCAAGGCUAGAAUCUGGCAGAGGGGGGGUAGAAUUCCACGUGUAGCAGUGAAAUGCGUAGAGAUGUGGAGGAACACCGAUGGCGAAGGCAGCCCCCCUGGGUCAAUACUGACGCU
rnacentral:rRNA from 1 species